rnacentral:rRNA from 1 species
AGCGAACGUUGGCGGCAGGCCUAACACAUGCAAGUCGCAGAACAACCCGGGCUUCGGUCCGGUGGAAACUGGCCCACGGGUGAGUAACGCGUGCGAACCUGCCUCAAGGUACGGAAUAAUCACGGGAAACUGUGACUAAUACCGUGUGUGCCCUCCGGGGGAAAGCUUCGGCGCCUUGAGAUGGUCCCGCGUCCCAUUAGCUUGUUGGUGAGGUAACGGCUCACCAAGGCUGCGAUCGGUAGCUGGUCUGAGAGGAUGAUCAGCCACACUGGGACUGAGACACGGCCCAGACUCCUACGGGAGGCAGCAGUGGGGAAUAUUGGACAAUGGGCGAAAGCCUGAUCCAGCCAUGCCGCGUGGGUGAAGAAGGCCCUAGGGUUGUAAAUCCCUUUCAGCGGGGAAGAUGAUGACGGUACCCGCAGAAGAAGCCCCGGCUAACUCCGUGCCAGCGGCCGCGGUAAUACGGAGGGGGCUAACGUUGCUCGGAAUUACUGGGCGUAAA